rnacentral:tRNA from 1 species
GGUAGCUCAAUGGCUAAGCUUUUGGCUGCUAACCAAAAGAUUGGCAGUUCAAGUCUACCAGCCA